CAACAGCUAGAGUUUGAUCCUGGCUCAGGAUGAACGCUGGCGGCGUGCAUAACACAUUCAAGUCGAACGGUGAGGGGAGCUUCGGUUCCCUGAACAGUGGCGGACGGGUGAGUAACGCGUGAGCAACCUGCCUCUGUGUGGGGAAUAACGUUUGGAAACGAACGCUAAUACCGCAUAACGCAUGAGGGUCGCAUGAUCCAUAUGCCAAAGAUUAAUUGCACAGAGAUGGGCUCGCGUCCGAUUAGAUAGUUGGUGGGGUAAAGGCCUACCAAGUCGACGAUCGGUAGCCGGACUGAGAGGUCGAACGGCCACAUUGGAACUGAGAAACGGUCCAGACUCCUACGGGAGGCAGCAGUGGGGAAUAUUGGGCAAUGGGCGAAAGCCUGACCCAGCGACGCCGCGUGAAGGAAGACGGUCUUCGGAUUGUAAACUUUAGUACUCAUGGACGAAGAGAUGACGGUACAUGAGGUUAAGCCACGGCUAACUACGUGCC
rnacentral:rRNA from 1 species